rnacentral:rRNA from 1 species
UACGAAGGGGGCUAGCGUUGCUCGGAAUCACUGGGCGUAAAGGGUGCGUAGGCGGGUUUUAAGUCAGGGGUGAAAUCCUGGAGCUCAACUCCAGAACUGCCUUUGAUACUGAAGAUCUUGAGUCCGGGAGAGGUGAGUGGAACUGCGAGUGUAGAGGUGAAAAUUCGUAGAUAUUCGCAAGAACACCAGUGGCGAAGGCGGCUCACUGGCCCGGUACUGACGGCUGAGGCACGGAAAGCGUGGGGAGCAAACAGGG